rnacentral:rRNA from 1 species
UACGGGGGGGGCAAGCGUUGUUCGGAAUUACUGGGCGUAAAGGGCUCGUAGGUGGCCAACUAAGUCAGACGUGAAAUCCCUCGGCUUAACCGGGGAACUGCGUCUGAUACUGGAUGGCUAGAGAUUGGGAGAGGGAUGCGGAAUUCCAGGUGUAGCGGUGAAAUGCGUAGAUAUCUGGAGGAACACCGGUGGCGAAGGCGGCAUCCUGGACCGACACUGACACUGAGGAGCGAAAGCCAGGGGAGCAAACGGG